GUCAGUAGGAUUAGAAGUUGGCGUCCAUACAGACAGGCAAAGAAGGGGAAAGCAGCCGAGGUCACGAGAGAAUUCCAUGCAGCAGUUAAUGGUAAUCAAUGGUAAUAAACACAUGUUCUAGGAAAGCCUAUGUAUCAAUCCACGAGCAAUAUU